rnacentral:rRNA from 1 species
AGUGAACGCUGGCGGUAGGCCUAACACAUGCAAGUCGAACGGCAGCACAGGAGAGCUCGCUCUCUGGGUGGCGAGUGGCGGACGGGUGAGGAAUACAUCGGAAUCUACUCUGUCGUGGGGGAUAACGUAGGGAAACUUACGCUAAUACCGCAUACGACCUACGGGUGAAAGCAGGGGAGCUUCGGACCUUGCGCGAGUGAAUGAGCCGAUGUAGGAUUAGCUAGCUGGCGGGGUAAAGGCCCACCAAGGCGACGAUCCGUAGCUGGUCUGAGAGGAUAAUGAGCCAGACUGGAGCAGCGACACGCUCCAGAGUCCUACGGGAGGCAGCAGUGGGGAAGAUUGUACGAUGGGCGCAAGCCUGAUCCAGCCAUACCGCGUGGGUGAAGAAGGCCUUCGCGUUGUAAAGCCCUUUUGUUGGGAAAGAAAUCCAGCUGGCUAAUACCCUGUUGGGAUGACGGUACCCAAAGAAUAAGCACCGGCUAACUUCGUGCCAGCCGCCGCGGUAA